rnacentral:ncRNA from 1 species
GGGGCCCCCAAAUUUAAAAAAUUAAAAAAAGAAACCCAGAAAAGGGGUUUGUUGUUUAAAAACAGCCCGGAGGGGGAUCCAGGAAAUUGGAAUUCCCUUAGGGAAGUGGAAACAAUUCCCCCUCCGGAGGAAACUACCCUUUAAAAGGAAGGGCGUUAAAGUUUUAUACUUAACAUUCCGGUAAAAGUGGAUGGUUUAUAUUACUGGUAAUAUAAAUUUGGAAACUUUAGUGAGUAGGAGGGUACAAUGGUGUGCAUAGAAGUGUUGGGCGUAAGCCUGCAGGGAGCCGCUAUUGGUACAGAUCUGGGUGGUAGUAGCAAAUAAUGGAAUGAGCCCUUGGAGGACUGAAGUGGAGAAGGGUUUCGUGUGAACAGUGGUUGAUCAGGAGUUAGUCGGUCCUAAGUUCAAGGCGAAAGCCGAAAAUUUUCAAGUAAAGAAAAAUCUAAAUAUAUUUGUCAUCUAACCGAUUUUUAUACACUUGAAUAAUUUUGAACGAAAGGGAAUACGGUUCCAAUUCCGUAACCUGUUGAGUAUCCGUUUGUUAUUAAAUAUGGGCCUCGUGCUCAUCCUGGCAACAGGAACGACCAUAAAGAAGCCGUCGAGAGGUAUCGGAAGAGUUUUCUUUUCUGUUUUAUAGCCGUACUACCAUGGAAGUCUUUCGCAGAGAGAUAUGGUAGAUGGGCUAGAAGAGCAUGACAUAUACUGUUGUGUCGAUAUUUUCUCCUCGGACCUUGAAAAUUUAUGGUGGGGACACGCAAACUUCUCAACAGGCCGUACCAAUAUCCGCAGCUGGUCUCCAAGGUGAAGAGUCUCUAGUCGAUAGAAUAAUGUAGGUAAGGGAAGUCGGCAAAUUAGAUCCGUAACUUCGGGAUAAGGAUUGGCUCUGAAGAUUGAGAUAGUCGGGCUUGAUUGGGAAACAAUAACAUGGUUUAUGUGCUCGUUCUGGGUAAAUAAAGUUUCUAUCAUUUAUGGUAGUUUCUUGUUCCCCGGAUAGUUUAGUUACGUAGCCAAUUGUGGAACUUUCUUGUAAACUUUAAGAACCAUGGGGCAACCAUAGUCU